rnacentral:rRNA from 1 species
GAUGAACGCUGGCGGCGUGCCUAAUACAUGCAAGUCGAACGAGGUGCUUUUGUAGCAAUACGAGAGUAUCCUAGUGGCGAACGGGUGAGUAACGCGUUGGUGACCUACCCCAAAGUGUGGGAUAACAGUCCGAAAGGAUUGCUAAUACCGCAUGUGGUCUUCGGAUUUAGAAACUGAUGACUAAAGGAGCAAUUCGCUUUGGGAGGGACCUGCGUCCCAUCAGCUAGUUGGUGAGGUAAUGGCUCACCAAGGCUACGACGGGUAGGGGACCUGAGAGGGUGACCCCCCCACAAUGGAACUGAAACACGGUCCAUACACCUACGGGUGGCAGCAGUAGGGAAUAUUGCACAAUGGGCGAAAGCCUGAUGCAGCAACGCCGCGUGUGCGAUGAAGGCCUUCGGGUCGUAAAGCACUUUUCUGGGAGAUGAGCAAGGACAGUAUCUCAGGAAUAAAGUCUCGGCUAAACUACGUGCCAGCAGCCGCGGUAAU